GACGAACCGAGCGAACGUUAUUCGGAAUCACUGGGCUUAAAGGGCGCGUAGGCGGGCGGUCAAGUCGUAGGUGAAAGCCUGCAGCUCAACUGCAGAAGUGCCCCCGAUACUGAUCACCUCGAGGGAGGUAGGGGCGUACGGAACUUCCGGUGGAGCGGUGAAAUGCGUAGAUAUCGGAAGGAACACCGGUGGCGAAAGCGGCGCGCUGGACCUCUUCUGACGCUGAGGCGCGAAAGCCAGGGGAGCAAACGGG
rnacentral:rRNA from 1 species